rnacentral:rRNA from 1 species
AACGAACGCUGGCGGCAUGCCUAACACAUGCCAGUCGAACGAGACCUUCGGGUCUCGUGGCGCACGUGUGCGUACCGCGUGGUAACCUGCCUUUAGGUUCGGUAUAACUCCCCGAAAGGGGUGCUAAUACCGGAUAAUGUCUUCGGACCAUAGAUUUAUCGCAUUUGGAUGGGCCGGCGUUGGAUUAGCUAGUUGGUAGGGUAAAAGCCUACCAAGGCGACGAUCCAUAGCUGGUCUGAGAGGAUGAUCAGCCACACUGGGACUGAGACACGGCCCAGACUCCUACGGGAGGCAGCAGUGGGGAAUAGUGGACAAUGAGCGAAAGCCUAAGACAGCAAUGCCGCGUGAGGGAUGAAGGACUUAGGGUUGUAAAGCUCUUUUACCCGGGAGGAGAAUGACAGUACCGGGAGAAUAAGCUCCGGCUAACUCCGUG